AUUGAACGCUGGCGGCAGGCCUAACACAUGCAAGUCGAACGAGUGGCGGACGGGUGAGUAAUGUCUGGGAAACUUCCCGAUGGCGGGGGAUAACUACUGGAAACGGUAGCUAUUACCGCAUACCAUCGGAUGUGCCCCGGUGGGAUUAGCUAGUAGGGGGGGUAACGGCUCACCAAGGCGACGAUCCCUAGCUGGUCUGAGAGGAUGACCAGCCACACUGGAACUGAGACACGGUCCAGACUCCUACGGGAGGCAGCAGUGGGGAAUAUUGCACAAUGGGCGCAAGCCUGAUGCAGCCAUGCCGCGUGUAUGAAGAAGGCCUUCGGGUUGUAAAGUACUUUCAGCGAGGAGGCGUUACUCGCAGAAGAAGCACCGGCUAACUCCGUGCCAGCAGCCGCGGUAAUAC
rnacentral:rRNA from 1 species